AUUCAACAAUGCUAUUUAAAAUUGGAUAAAUAAAGGCAAAUGAAAUUAUAAAAAUGGAUCAUCACUUUUAUGGAAAGCCAACUAAACCAAUGUUUUGCUCAACAUGUCAAGCAUUAGGGGACUUUAAUAAAAUAUUGAAAGUGAGUUCCCCAGAGGAGAUGAGCAAUUCAAAAAUAGAAUGUAUGAGAACAGUGCUAAUUGAUACUUCAAAUACGAAUGGCACUCCGUAUCCUUAUGGAUGAGGAAGCGUGUUAUCUGAUGAGAUGACACAAAUCAUGCAAUGGGAGUCUCUGGGGCCCAGUGGACAGCAGCUGUGCAGGAUCUGAGGCUGUGGAUGUUAACAACACUGCUCCCUGGGAAUCCACAGGAGAGAUUCGUUCACUGCCAUGUAGAACCAUGUUGUACAGGAUUUACUGUUGUGAAAGUUUCCCAGAGUUCUGAUAACAAUGGGUAGUCAGAACCUAGAUUAUCUGAACCAAGAUAGAACGCUGCACGGAAUGCAGCACUGCACAGCACUGCUCUUGUCUAUUGGGCCCUCCAUGAAGGAGCUAAUUUAUCCACCCUCCCUUCUGUUGAACCAUCAGUGGGUAAUCUCAGGAGCUUAUUUUGGAAUAACUGCUCAGCUACUAAUGGAAUAAAGAGUAUAAUGAAUGAACAUAAGUGGACACUAAAGCCUGUUAGUGAAAGGGUGUGGCUAACUUUAUGAUGGAGGCAUCCAACUGACACCACCUGAAUUCACUGAUGAAGCCUAGAGAAAUGGGACAGCUGUGCCAGCACGUGCCUUGUGAUGUGAUGCACCAGGAAGUAUGAAGUUUUCUUGCCCAAAAAAAUUCAACCUGAAUCUCAUCAAGCCACUUUACAGGACAUACAGGGGAUCAAGAAACAAGUAAAAUGACACUGAGGGGGAGGCAAUAAGACAAAUCCAGAAUGUGGGUCAUUUUACAGGACAAAUUACCCAAUUUCUACAGCAAAUGAGUAGUCAGGGAAGGGAGGAAGAUGGUAUAAAAGAGAAGAGACUUACGGACAUAGCCAAAUGCUGUGUGUGGCUCUUAUUUGGAUUCUGAUUAGAAGAAACCACCUGUAAAAAUACGGCUUUGAGACCAUCAGGGAAGUCCGAACAUGGACCUGGUGUUAGAUGAUAAUUUAAAAUUAUUGUUAGCAUAUUUCUAGAGGAACAGGAGAGCUCUCAGAAAAUCUACACCUUACUUUGUUCUUCAUCACCUAAAAGAAAUGGCUUCAGAUUAAAAUUUCCUGAAUCAAAAAGUACUUUUAUUAAUCUGAGAGCAUUUAUAAAUUGUGAGGUCAGUACUGUAAAAGUCUGUGCAAUGAUUUAAUUCUUAGAGGCUAUUUGGCUUUCAUUGCCUUUAAAGCUGAAGUUGGCUAUUUCACUCACUCCAGGAUGGCUA
rnacentral:lncRNA from 1 species